rnacentral:tRNA from 1 species
GGCCCAGUAGCUUAGUUGGUAAAGCACUUGUCUAGCGAAUAAGGGUCGUGAGUUCAAAUCUCACCUAAGCUG